CAAUUCUAAUUAGUGAUUGAAGACAUGGGAUCAGCUUGUGCUUUCUUCACUCUCUUCUCAUUGGCCCUGCUUGUUGCUAGCAGUGUUGAUGCAAGAACAGACCAAGGAGAAUACUGGCAAGUCAUCAUGAAAGAUCAGUCCAUGCCGGAAGCAAUUGAAGGCCUCAUCAUCCACGGGGCUCGGUGUCAUCACCUCUCUUCGACAAGAAAACUGACUGUCACAUGACAACAGAAGCAGCAGCAAACAACAAUCAACUUGUCAAUGAUUCUGCAGAGAAGAAGGCUUUCGUGAAAGACUUUGAGCCAAGGCCUCACCAUGACAACGAAGUGGAUCUGAAAGGCAAGUCAUUUGUUAAAGAUUUUGAGCCGAGGCCAGAUCUUAGUACUUAUGAACAUUGAAGGGAAAUCACAAGCAUGCAGAGGAACUUGGAAGUGGAUUAUGUAAGAUAUAUCUAUAUAUAUGGUUGAAUCUAAACAAUUAAGAAGCAAAUGUUGUAUGUUUGUGUGGUGUACUGGUUUGUAGUUGUGGUUUGAAGUGAGUGAUUAUGUUUAAUUACUCAAAAUAAGAAAAGCUUGUUGUGAUGGUGAUUGAGUAAUAGUAAUGAAGUUUUGUGUUUUUUUUACGUCAA